GCUGGACUGGAGAUAAGAUACCACAGAGG
rnacentral:piRNA from 1 species